GCCGCGUUGGCUCAGUGGUAGAGCGUGUCACUAGUAUGGUAUACCAUCACAAGUAAUGACAAGGUCCAAGGUUCGAUCCCUUGACGUGGCA